rnacentral:rRNA from 1 species
GUGCACGCUGGCGGUAGGCCUAACACCUGCCAGUCGCACGGCAGCACAGUGAGAGCUUGCUCUUACGGGUGGCGAGUGGCGGACGGGUGAGGAAUACAUCGGAAUCUACUUUUUCGUGGGGGAUAACGUAGGGAAACUUACGCUAAUACCGCAUACGACCUACGGGUGAAAGCAGGGGAUCUUCGGACCUUGCGCGAUUGAAUGAGCCGAUGUCGGAUUAGCUAGUUGGCGGGGUAAAGGCCCACCAAGGCGACGAUCCGUAGCUGGUCUGAGAGGAUGAUCAGCCACACUGGAACUGAGACACGGUCCAGACUCCUACGGGAGGCAGCAGUGGGGAAUAUUGGACAAUGGGCGCAAGCCUGAUCCAGCCAUACCGCGUGGGUGAAGAAGGCCUUCGGGUUGUAAAGCCCUUUUGUUGGGAAAGAAAAGCAGCAGGUUAAUACCCCGCUGUUCUGACGGUACCCAAAGAAUAAGCACCGGCUAACUUCGUG